GACGAACGCUGGCGGUGUGCUUAACACAUGCAAGUGGUGCGACGAACCAGAGCUUGCUCUGGGGCAAAGCCGCGAACGGGUGAGUAACACGUGGGUAAUCUACCCCGAUGACCGGGACAACCCGAGGAAACUCGGGCUAAUACCGGAUGUGGUGCGGAGACAUAAGUCUCUUCACUAAAGGUAGCUUCGGCUUCCGCAUUGGGAGGGGCCCGCGGCCCAUUAGCUUGUUGGUGGGGUCAAGGCCUACCAAGGCAACGAUGGGUAGCUGGUCUGAGAGGACGAUCAGCCACACUGGGACUGAGACACGGCCCAGACUCCUACGGGAGGCAGCAGUGGGGAAUCUUGCGCAAUGCGCGAAAGCGUGACGCAGCAACACCGCGUGAGGGAAGAAGGCCUUAGGGUUGUAAACCUCCUUCAGAUGGGACGAAGGUUCUCCGGUGAAUAGCCGAGAGGAUUGACGGUACCGUCAGAAGAAGCUCCGGCUAACUACGUG
rnacentral:rRNA from 1 species